UAAAGUGGCGAACGGGUGAGUAACACGUGGGCAAUCUGCCCUUCGUUGGGGGACAACCGGGGGAAACCCCGGCUAAUACCCCGUAAGCUUGCUGGACCGCAUGGUCCGGUAAGGAGAGGUAGCUUCGGCCAUCCGGCGAAGGAGGAGCCCGCGGUACAUUAGCUAGUUGGUGAGGUAAUGGCUCACCAAGGCUACGAUGUAUAGCUGGUCUGAGAGGAUGAUCAGCCACACUGGGACUGAGACACGGCCCAGACUCCUACGGGAGGCAGCAGUCGGGAAUCUUGCACAAUGGGCGAAAGCCUGAUGCAGCAACACCGUGUGAGCGAUGAAGGCCCUAGGGUCGUAAAGCUCUGUUGUUAGGGACGAAGGGCGAAGGGUUAAUAGCCCUUAGCCUGACGGUACCUUUCGAGGAAGCCCCGGCUAACUACGUGCCAGCAGCCGCGGUAAUACGUAGGGGGCGAGCGUUGUCCGGAAUUAUUGGGCGUAA
rnacentral:rRNA from 1 species